rnacentral:rRNA from 1 species
UACGUAGGCGGUUUGCCAAGUUUGGUGUGAAAUCUCCUGGCUUAACUGGGAGGGUGCGCCGAAUACUGGCGGGCUUGAGUAUUGGAGAGGAAAGCGGAAUUCCUGGUGUAGCGGUGAAAUGCGUAGAUAUCAGGAGGAACACCGGUGGUGUAGACGGCUUUCUGGACAAUCACUGACGCUGAGGUACGAAAGCGUGGGUAGCAAACAGGAUUAGAUACCCUGGUAGUCCACGCCCUAAACGAUGCAAACUUGGUGUAGGCAGUUCAGUCUGUCUGUGCCGGAGCUAACGCGUUAAGUUUGCCGCCUGGGGAGUACGGUCGCAAGGCUGAA